rnacentral:rRNA from 1 species
ACGGGAGGCAGCAGUGGGGAAUAUUGCACAAUGGGGGCAACCCUGAUGCAGCGACGCCGCGUGAGUGAAGAAGUAUUUCGGUAUGUAAAGCUCUAUCAGCAGGGAAGAAAAUGACGGUACCUGACUAAGAAGCCCCGGCUAACUACGUGCCAGCAGCCGCGGUAAUCCGUAGGGGGCAAGCGUUAUCCAGAUUUACUGGGUGUAAAGGGAGCGUAGACGGCGAUGCAAGUCUGAUGUGAAAGCCCGGGGCUCAACCCCGGCACUGCAUUGGAAACUGUGUUGCUAGAGUGCAGGAGAGGUGAGUGGAAUUCCUAGUGUAGCGGUGAAAUGCGUAGAUAUUAGGAGGAACACCAGUGGCGAAGGCGGCUUACUGGACUGUAACUGACGUUGAGGCUCGAAAGCGUGGGGAGCAAACAGGAUUAGAUACCCUGGUA